UCUUGCUUCUCUGAUGUUAGCGGCGGACGGGUGAGUAACACGUGGAUAACCUACCUAUAAGACUGGGAUAACUUCGGGAAACCGGAGCUAAUACCGGAUAAUAUUUUGAACCGCAUGGUUCAAAAGUGAAAGACGGUCUUGCUGUCACUUAUAGAUGGAUCCGCGCUGCAUUAGCUAGUUGGUAAGGUAACGGCUUACCAAGGCAACGAUGCAUAGCCGACCUGAGAGGGUGAUCGGCCACACUGGAACUGAGACACGGUCCAGACUCCUACGGGAGGCAGCAGUAGGGAAUCUUCCGCAAUGGGCGAAAGCCUGACGGAGCAACGCCGCGUGAGUGAUGAAGGUCUUCGGAUCGUAAAACUCUGUUAUUAGGGAAGAACAUAUGUGUAAGUAACUGUGCACAUCUUGACGGUACCUAAUCAGAAAGCCACGGCUAACUACGUGCCAGCAGCCGCGGUAAUACGUAGGUGGCAAGCGUUAUCCGGAAUUAUUGGGCGUAAAGCGCGCGUAGGCGGUUUUUUAAGUCUGAUGUGAAAGCCCACGGCUCAACCGUGGAGGGUCAUUGGAAACUGGAAAAACUUGAGUGCAGAAAAGGAAAGUGGAAUUCCAUGUGUAGCGGUGAAAAUGCGCAAAGAUAUGGAGGAACACCAGUGGCGAAAGGCG
rnacentral:rRNA from 1 species